UCAUUUGUUUUAUUACAGUUG
rnacentral:piRNA from 1 species